rnacentral:miRNA from 2 species
CCUCAAAUGUGGAGCACUAUUCU